rnacentral:rRNA from 1 species
GACGAACGCUGGCGGCGUGCUUAACACAUGCAAGUCGAACGGAAAGGCCCUGCUUUCGUGGGGUGCUCGAGUGGCGAACGGGUGAGUAACACGUGAGUAACCUGCCCUUGACUUUGGGAUAACUUCAGGAAACUGGGGCUAAUACCGGAUAGGAGCUCCUGCUGCACGGUGGGGGUUGGAAAGUUUCGGCGGUUGGGGAUGGACUCGCGGCUUAUCAGCUUGUUGGUGGGGUAGUGGCUUACCAAGGCUUUGACGGGUAGCCGGCCUGAGAGGGUGACCGGCCACAUUGGGACUGAGAUACGGCCCAGACUCCUACGGGAGGCAGCAGUGGGGAAUAUUGCACAAUGGGCGGAAGCCUGAUGCAGCAACGCCGCGUGCGGGAUGACGGCCUUCGGGUUGUAAACCGCUUUCGCCUGUGACGAAGCGUGAGUGACGGUAAUGGGUAAAGAAGCACCGGCUAACUACGUG